UACGGGGGGGGCAAGCGUUGUUCGGAAUUACUGGGCGUAAAGGGCGCGUAGGCGGCCUGCUAAGUCGGGCGUGAAAUCCCUCGGCUCAACCGGGGAACUGCGUCCGAUACUGGUGGGCUCGAAUCCGGGAGAGGGAUGUGGAAUUCCAGGUGUAGCGGUGAAAUGCGUAGAUAUCAGGAGGAACACCGAUGGCGAAGGCAGCUCGCUGGGACGGUACUGACGCUGAGGCGCGAAAGCGUGGGGAGCAAACAGG
rnacentral:rRNA from 1 species